AAUAUAAAUAAUAAUUAUUUAUAAUAGUUAUUUGUCCGACUAAUCAGAUUGUUUUUUUAGGGAACAUAAUGGAUCCUCGAUAGAAUGACAAGGACCAUGCAUAGCUAUUUUUAUUUACAUUCCUUUUUCUUUAGUGAUUAAUGAUGAUUUGGAUGCAUAUUUAAGCAAGCUUAAUGAAACCCUAUUUCUUUUAUUGACCGAUUAUGUGGGUUGAGCUCGAAACUACAACUCGCCCAGCCCUAGCCUUCCAGUCAUGCAUCGUAUUCGUCACACUCCAUUGCCAUAUUGGUUCACACUUCAACAACCAGCAGGCAAACACG
rnacentral:lncRNA from 1 species